ensembl:lncRNA
UUGUCACCUGUGUGUGUCACUGUCACCUGUGUGUGUCACCAUGACCACCAAGGAGUGCCUGCACCGCUUCUGCUCCGACUGUAUCGUCACAGCCCUGAGGAGCGGGUCAGUGUCACUGUCAUUGUCACUGUCAUUGUCAUUGUCUCCUUUGUGUGUCACCUGUGUGUGUCACCAUGACCACCAAGGAGUGCCUGCACCGCUUCUGCUCCGACUGUAUCGUCACAGCCCUGUGCAGCGGGUAUGUGACACCUGUGUGUGUCAUUGUCAUUGUCACCUGUGUCACCUGUGUGUGUCACCUGUGUGUCAUUGUCAUUGUCACACCUGUGUGUGUCAUUGUCAUUGUCACCUGUGUGUGUGUCAUUGUCAUUGUCACCUGUGUGUCAUUGUCAUUGUCAUUGUCACUGUCACCUGUGUGUCAUUGUCACCUGUGUCACUGUCACCUGUCUGCGUCACCAUGACCACCAAGGAGUGCCUGCACCGCUUCUGCCCCGACUGUAUCGUCACAGCCCUCAGGAGCGGGUAUGUGACACUGUCACUGUCAUUGUCAUUGUCAUUGUCACCUGUGUGUGUGUCAUUGUCACCUGUGUGUAUCACCAUGACCACCAAGGAGUGCCUGCACCGCUUCUGCUCCGACUGUAUCGUCACAGCAUUGAGGAGCGGGUAUGGGACACUGUCACCUGUGUGUCAUUGUCACCAUUGUCAUUGUCACCAUUGUCAUUGUCAUUGUCACCUGUGUGUGUGUCACUGUCACCUGUGUGUGUGUCAUUGUCACCUUGUGUGUCACCAUGGCCACCAAGGAGUGCCUGCACCGCUUCUGCUCCGACUGUAUCGUCACAGCCCUGCGCAGCGGGUAUGUGACACUGUCAUUGUCAUUGUCAUUGUCAUUGUCAUUGUCACCUGUGUGUGUCACCAUGGCCACCAAGGAGUGCCUGCACCGCUUCUGCUCCGACUGUAUCGUCACCACCCUCAGGAGCGGGUAUGGGACACUGUCACCUGUGUGUGUCAUUGUCAUUGUCACCUGUGUCACUGUCACCUGUGUGUCACCUGUGUCAUGGUCACCUGUCACUGUCACCUGUGUGUCACCUGUCAGUGUCACCCCGGUGCCGGCACCGCUUCUGCUCCGACUGUAUCGUCACCGCGCUCAGGAGUGGGUACGGGACACUGUCAUUGUCACCUGUGUGUCAUUGUCAUUGUCAUCUGUGUCAUUGUCACCUGAGUGUCACCUGUGUCUGUCGUUGUCACCUGUCUGUCUCUGUCACCUGUGUGUCACCUGUGUCAUUGUCAAAAGGUGUCACCUGUGUCACUGCCACCUGUGUGUCACUGUCACCUGAUAUUGUCACCUGUGUCUGUCAUUGUUUGUCAUUGUCUGUCACCUGUGUCACCUGUGUGUCAUUGUCACCUCUGUCACCUGUGUCUGUCAUUGUCUGUCACCUGUGUGUGUCGCUUGUGUCACCUGUGUCACUGCCACCUGUGUGUCACUGUCACCUGUCUGAUAUUGUCACCUAUGUCUGUCAUUGUCUGUCAUUGUCUGUCACCUGUGUCACCUGUGUGUCAUUGUCACCUCUGUCAUCUGUGUCUGUCAUUGUCUGUCACUGUCACCUGUGUCACCUGUGUGUCACUGUCACCUCUGUCACCUGUGUCUCUCAUUGUCUGUCAUUGUCACCUGUGUCAUUGUCACCUGUGUCACCUGUGUCACCUAUUGUCACCUGUGUCACCUGUUUCUGUCAUUGUCACCUGUGUCAUUGUCACCUGUGUGUGUCAUUGUCUGUCACUGUCACCUGUGUGUCACUGUCACCUGUGUGUCAUUGUCACCUGUGUGUGUCACCUGUGUCAGUGUCAGCUGUGUGGGUCACUGUCACCUGUGUCAUCUGUGUCUCCUGUGUCAAUGUCACCUGUGUCACCUGUCUGUGUCACCUGUGUCACUGUCACCUGUGUGUCACUGUCACCGGUGUUUCAUUGUCACCUUUGUGUCAUUGUAACGUGUGUCACUGUCACCUGUCACUGUCACCCGUGUGUCACUGUCACCUGUCUGUGUCACCUGUGUUUCACGGUCACUUGUGUCACUGUCACCUGUGUGCAAUUGUCACCUGUGUCAGUGUCACCUGUAUGUGUCACCUGUGUGUCACUGUCACCUGUGUCACGGUCACCCGUGUGUCAUUGUCACCCGUGUGUCACUGUCACCUGUGUCACUGUCACCUGUGUGUCACUGUCACCUGUCUGUCACUGUCACCUGUGUCACUGUCACUGUCACCUGUGUGUCACCUGUGUCACUGUCACCUGUGUGUGUCACUGUCAUCUGUAUGUCAUUGUUACCUGUGUCACCUGUGUCACUGUCACCUGUGUGUGUCACCUGUGUGUGUCACUGCCUGUCACUGUCACCUGUCAUUGUCACCUGUGAGUGUCACCUGUGUCACUGUCACCUGUGUGUCAUUGUCACCUGUGUCACUGUCACCUGUAUGUCACUGUCACCUGUGUGUGUCACCUGUGUGUCACCUGUGUGUCACUGUCACCUGUGUGUCACUGUCACCUGCGUCACUGUCACCUGUGUGUCACCUGUGUGUCACUGUCACCUGUGUGUCACUGUCACCCGUGUGUCACUGUCACUGGUGUGUCACCCCUGUGUCAUUCCCAAUUCCCAUUCCCCCCCAUUUUUUCUCCUGAUUUUUCCUCAUUUUUUCUCCAUUUUUUUCUCAAAUUUUUCCCCAAUUUCCCCCCGGUUUUUCCGCCAUAUUUUCCCCAUUUCUCCUCGGAUUUUUUGCCCAUUUUUUUUCCCCAUUUUCCCAGCUUUUUCCCCGUUUUUCCCCGUUUUUCCCCAGGAACAAGGAGUGUCCCCCAUCCAGGAAGAACCUGGAGUCUCAUUUUCUCCCUUUUUUUUCCCCGUUUUUUUGCCAUUUUUUGCCGUUUUUCCGCCAUAUUUUCCCCAUUUCUCCUCGGAUUUUUUUCCCGUUUUUUUCCCCAUUUUUCACAUUUUUCCCCCCAUUUUUCCCCAGGAACAAGGAGUGCCCACGUGCAGGAAGAAGCCGGGAUCUCAUUUU